CCUACGGGUGGCAGCAGUGAGGAAUAUUGGUCAAUGGCCGGGAGGCUGAACCAGCCAAGUCGCGUGAGGGAAGACGGCCCUACGGGUUGUAAACCCCUUUUGUCAGGGAGCAAGGUGCAGGUCGGGACCUGCUGUGAGAGUACCUGAAGAAAAAGCAUCGGCAAACCCCGUGCCAGCAGCCGCGGUAAUACGGGGGAUGCGAGCGUUAUCCGGAUUUAUUGGGGUAAAGGGGUGCGCUGCUGGAGGCACAAGUCAGCGGUAAAAUCGCGGGGCCCAGCCCGGCUCCGCCGUUGAAACUGUGUGCCUUGAGUGCGGGAAGGGUAGGCAGAAUGCGUGGUGUAGCGGUGAAAUGCAUAGAUAUCACGCAGAACUCCGGUCGCGAAGGCAGCCUACCGGCGCGCAACUGACGCUCAGGCACGAAAGCGUGGGUAGCGAACAGGAUUAGAUACCCCUGUAGUC
rnacentral:rRNA from 1 species